GAUGAACGCUGGCGGCGUGCCUAAUACAUGCAAGUCGAGCGAACAGACGAGGAGCUUGCUCCUCUGACGUUAGCGGCGGACGGGUGAGUAACACGUGGAUAACCUACCUAUAAGACUGGGAUAACUUCGGGAAACCGGAGCUAAUACCGGAUAAUAUAUUGAACCGCAUGGUUCAAUGGUGAAAGACGGUUUUGCUGUCACUUAUAGAUGGAUCCGCGCCGCAUUAGCUAGUUGGUAAGGUAACGGCUUACCAAGGCAACGAUGCGUAGCCGACCUGAGAGGGUGAUCGGCCACACUGGAACUGAGACACGGUCCAGACUCCUACGGGAGGCAGCAGUAGGGAAUCUUCCGCAAUGGGCGAAAGCCUGACGGAGCAACGCCGCGUGAGUGAUGAAGGUCUUCGGAUCGUAAAACUCUGUUAUUAGGGAAGAACAAAUGUGUAAGUAACUAUGCACGUCUUGACGGUACCUAAUCAGAAAGCCACGGCUAACUACGUG
rnacentral:rRNA from 1 species